rnacentral:rRNA from 1 species
GAUGAACGCUGGCGGCGUGCCUAAUACAUGCAAGUCGAGCGAACGGACGAGAAGCUUGCUUCUCUGAUGUUAGCGGCGGGCGGGUGAGUAACACGUGGAUAACCUACCUAUAAGACUGGGAUAACUUCGGGAAACCGGAGCUAAUACCGGAUGAUAUUUUGAACCGCAUGGUUCAAAAGUGAAAGACGGUCUUGCCGUCACUUAUAGAUGGAUCCGCGCUGCAUUAGCUAGUUGGUAAGGUAACGGCUUACCAAGGCAACGAUGCAUAGCCGACCUGAGAGGGUGAUCGGCCACACUGGAACUGAGACACGGUCCAGACUCCUACGGGAGGCAGCAGUAGGGAAUCUUCCGCAAUGGGCGAAAGCCUGACGGAGCAACGCCGCGUGAGUGAUGAAGGUCUUCGGAUCGUAAAACUCUGUUAUUAGGGAAGAACAUAUGUGUAAGUAACUGUGCACAUCUUGACGGUACCUAAUCAGAAAGCCACGGCUAACUACGUG